rnacentral:misc_RNA from 1 species
GAGUAGAUAUUAAAUGAAGAGAUUUUAUAGCAAGUGGUUUACAAAUGAGCUAAAUGUCUCACAAAUCACCAUAAAUGACUCAUAUAUUAAAAGGAUAAAAUGAUAAUGAAUUUCAAUUUAAUUAUUAAUAUACCAUUUUGAGCUAGUUCAAUUUGAGCUGUGUAGCAUUUUUGUUAAAUUUUAGGUGGAGAAACGCUAGGUAUCAUUGUAGCUGGCAGGGGGCAUGGAUUAACAGAAGAGGAGAUGGUUAGCCUGCACAGUUUCACAAGCUCAUGAAUGGGGACAGGUAGAUCCAAGCAGGCAACCAUUAAGAGGGAUUGGCCCUCUGCCUCCAUCAAUUUCGUGGUGGAUUCAAGUCCUUUUACCAAUUUCCAUAGGCUGUGGAUCAAGAAGUCAUUAGUGAUGUGACACCUAAGAAACUCCCUCGAUAUUUCCAGGGCAAAGCUGUACUAUCAGGCUCUUUAAUGCAUCCCCACCAAGUCGGUCAUCACCCAAAAUCUAGUGCAAUUCAGGUUUCACAUAGCUUUAGUUACAAGAAGAGAAGCAACAUUGUUUAAGAAUUGAAAGUGAAAAAGAGAGAUAUCACAAAUGUGAAAAAAAUGGCACCUAGUGCCUAGGAUUCCAAUUUCCUAUAUGCCUACGCUCGCGUUGGGGUUACAGGUUACGACUUGUUCCCCUGUUUCAAACUUCUGCUCUGCCCUGUACUUAUACCUAUGUGCUAAGUAUAGAAAAGCACAGAAAUUUAUUACGCUCAGUACUGUGAGAAGCCAGUAAAAAUAAUCAAAUCUACCAGUAUUUAUAUUCUGGGAUAACCAGGAUGGCUGCCUUUUUUCUGGGCUCCCUGUUACUGAUUUAAUGAUGCUGUUCAAGAUACUUGCUGCGAAGCAUCCUAAACCUCCAGCUAAAGCAGCAUAAGAAGAUCCUAUACUUUUCAUAGCGUCAGGAGCUUCUUCAUAAAGGAAUUCCAGUAACCCCACGAUGCAAAAUACUUCAGCUAUUCCUAUGAGGCAGUACUGGAUCAACAACCAGAAUGCGCUCAGGUCGGGCAUGGGUGUCAAGAAACCGAAUUCAUAGCCAUGUUUUAUUGCGUAGUUUCUCCGAUACCUCUCAAAAAACCCUGCCCAUGCCACAGACACAAUUGAAACAGCUAGGCCAAUGCCUACCCUUUGAAGCUGAGAAGCACCAUGAGGAUGACCAGUAAUGCGUCGGGAUAUCGGAACAAAGAUCGAGUAAUAUAGAGAAAGUAUGAGGAAAAUGCUGAGGCCUGGAAACACUGGCAUGCAAGUUACCGGGAGUUUUAGACGACCCAUCUGUGUGUUCAUAGUAUAUGCCUGUUGUAUGGAGAGAGUCAGAUACUCUGUUAAAACUACAUUGAUCAUUACGGUGCAAGCUGUAACUGGAAUCAGUUUCAGUAGUAUCUUCACUUCUUCUACUUGAGUCACAGUGCAAAGCCUCCACGGAUUAGGAUCCACACCAUCUUCCUUCAAUUGCAGAGCUGCCUUGUCCAAACAUCUGCCGGCACGAAAGGCAGAAUUAGGAUUAAAAACAGUUAGUGUGAGGAGAAAUUACCCAAAUUCUCUCUACCCAGAACUAAUUGUUGGAUUAGCUCUUACCCUGUUGAUAAUUAAAAUUUUUCCACAAACACAUGAAAUGAUAUUAAAAUGUAUAGGAAGAGCGAUUAUACCUGAAAUCAUCAGUAUGAGCUAUCUUUCCACUACCCUUUAUAGCAGAAUGUUUCCCUGGAACCUCGUAGAGGCCUAUUAGCUCACUGCUAGAAAAACUGGCUUUUCUCUUCCGGAAUGCAGCAACCAGAACUUGGGCAACCCUUGUUAGGGGGCUGCCUCCUGGCAAUCUGUGUCUGUACAUGGGGGUGCCAAUAAAGAAUAGCAUAUUUGAUAUACCCAUAGCUAUGGCCAAUGAACCGAACGCAAAUCCCCAUCCACGUUCCAUUUGAAUGUAGACUACCAAGGUGAAGGCCACUAUUGCCCCAAUAGUUACAGAUAGAUAAAAGAAGUUAAAAAACCUGUCUAGAUGAGAUUUGUAAUUUUUACUUCUUUCAUCAAACUGAUCAGCCCCAAAGGUAGCUAUGUUGGGCUGAUAUCCUCCAUUUCCUAGGGCAAUAAGGUAGAUGGAGAGGUAGAACAGCGCAAUCUGGAAUGUUGAGUGGGAUCCACAUGGAAAUUGAUCAUCGCCACAGCCACUGGGCUUGAGUAGGAAUAUGUAAGAUGAUAGGGACAAUGAGACCAGACCCUGUCAUUAAAUAGUAAAUUAAAAGAGUACAACUUAUAAAUAAAAAAAGAAAAUACCUGCUUAGUUUCCAUGAAGCAUGAGGAAUAUAUGAACUGUUGAAAAUGACCUUUUUUUCUUGUCGAAAGAAGAAAAUUCAUUAACGUUAAGCAGGUAAAGUUGAAAAUGAACGUGACACUAUGGAAUAAUGACACGGUGCUUACGUAAGAGGAGAAUUUUGUUUUCAAAUGCUUCCAGAAUCUUUACUUACAAAGACAAAGAUGGCCUGGAAGAUCGCACAAGUCUUAUACCUCCCCCAGUAAGAGUCACUAAGGAAGGCUCCCAGUAGUGAGAAGAUGUAAACCGUUCCGGUCCAUUUGCUCACGUUGUUUGCUGCUGUAGCAUUGUCUUGGCCCAACACCCUUGUCAGAAACAGAACCAAGUUCACUCCCACUCCAAAGAAUGCCAACGUGGCCAGCCCUUGAUUCACUAGUAUUAGAAUUCCAGCGACCCAUGUUCCAGUUCUGUCCCGGAUUGCUGGAUGACCACGUCCAUCGACGGUUCCAUCUAGGGUGUAAACCUCCGCUUUCAUUUUUAUCAUCCCCUCUACCUUGUCCUCUUUGAAAAUAUUAAAACAAUCCAUCGUUGCACUGUCACUAAUAAUAAAUAUAUCUGAAAUGCAAAGAGAAAGAGCAAGAGAUGAAGGCCAGGUUUAAAGGACCUUGUGAAGGGCUGUACCGCUG